GGCCAGACUCCCGGGAGGCAGCAGUGGGGAAUAUUGGGCAAUGGGCGCAAGCCUGACCCAGCAACGCCGCGUGAAGGAAGAAGGCUUUCGGGUUGUAAACUUCUUUUAUGAGGGACGAAACAAAUGACGGUACCUCAUGAAUAAGCCACGGCUAACUACGUGCCAGCAGCCGCGGUAAUACGUAGGGGGCAAGCGUUAUCCGGAUUUACUGGGUGUAAAGGGAGCGUAGACGGCAGUGCAAGUCCGGAGUGAAAGCCCGGGGCUCAACCCUGGGACUGCUCUGGAAACUGUAAAGCUGGAGUGCGGGAGGGGCAGGCGGAAUUCCUGGUGUAGCGGUGAAAUGCGUAGAUAUUAGGAGGAACACCAGUGGCGAAGGCGGCCCGCUGGACGAUGACUGACGUUGAGGCUCGAAAGCGUGGGGAGCAAACAGGAUUAGAUACCCCCGUAGGU
rnacentral:rRNA from 1 species